UACGUAGGGUGCGAGCGUUGUCCGGAAUUAUUGGGCGUAAAGAGCUCGUAGGCGGACUGUCACGUCUGCUGUGAAAAGCUGGGGCUUAACCCUGGCCUUGCAGUGGAUACGGGCAGACUAGAGGUAGGUAGGGGAGAAUGGAAUUCCCGGUGUAGCGGUGAAAUGCGCAGAUAUCGGGAGGAACACCGGUGGCGAAGGCGGUUCUCUGGGCCUUACCUGACGCUGAGGAGCGAAAGCGUGGGGAGCGAACAGG
rnacentral:rRNA from 1 species